ensembl:lncRNA
GAGAGUGUUAUCCAGGGCUCUGAGUAGUGUUGCGUCCCUGCUGAGACUCUGGAGGGUUCAGUGUCUGGACCUGACUGACUUCUGCAUUCAGGGUCACUCUCUCAUCACACUGCUGUGUCACCAGGGACCUCUCUCUCUCAGACUAAACUCAGACACUCUGCAGCAGCUGACUGUAGUUGUGUAUGAAGCUCAGGACAAGGACUUGACUCAGUGGUUCCUAGAGAAGAACAUCUCAGAUCUUCUCCCCUUUCUGGGAAGGGUUACUCUCAAGAGUGUUGACAGGAGGUUACUGCUGAGUUUCCUCCAGUGCUGUGGUGCCUCUCAGAUCCAGCAGGGGGCGCCACCACUACCAACAGCAUUAUGGCUGCUGAGGUCUCUGCACUACAGACUGGACUUCUCCUGCUCCUCCUCU